GACGAACGCUGGCGGCGUGCUUAACACAUGCAAGUCGAACGGAAAGGCCCUGCUUUUGUGGGGUGCUCGAGUUGCGAACGGGUGAGUAACACGUGAGUAACCUGCCCUUGACUUUGGGAUAACUUCAGGAAACUGGGGCUAAUACCGGAUAGGAGCUCCUGCUGCAUGGUGGGGGUUGGAAAGUUUCGGCGGUUGGGGUUGGACUCGCGGCUUCUCAGCUUUUGGGUGGGGUAGUGGCUUACCAAGGCCUUGACGGGUAGCCGGCCUGAGAGGGUGACCGGCCACAUUGGGACUGAGAUACGGCCCAGACUGCUACGGGAGGCAGCAGUGGGGAAUAGUGCACAAUGGGCGGAAGCCUGAUGCAGCAACGCCGCGUGCGGGAUGACGGCCUUCGGGUUGUAAACCGCUUUCGCCUGGGACGAAGCGUGAGUGACGGUAAUGGGUAAAGAAGCACCGGCUAACUACGUG
rnacentral:rRNA from 1 species